UCGACUGUUUACCAAAAACAUAGCCUCAUUUGAUAAAUAUGAGGUGAAACCUGCUCAAUGGUUGCUAAUAAUAACAUAAAAACAAUUAAAUAGCCGCGGUAACUCUGACCGUGAUAAAGUAGCAUAAUCACUCGUCAUUUAAUUGGUGACUGGAAUGAACGGUUAAACGAAUCUCUAACUGUCUCGAGGAGAGAGUUCAAUUAAUUUGAAGAAACAGUGAAGAUGCUGUUAGAUAAUUGUAAGACGAAAAGACCCUUUCGAGCUUUACUAUAAACUUAUAUUUUCGGUAAAUAAUAAUAAUCUAUUUACAUAAUUCUUGUAAGUUUGUUAGUUUGGUUGGGGCGACCACCUCUAAAAUAGUAUCAGAGGAAAUCUAAAGGUUUCUAUAGUAAUAUGAUUUGCCUUACUGUAUACAAACAAGUUAAUCAGUUACAUUUAUGUAGGAUAUAAUGACCCGUUAAUUAAAUUUUAAAACUUAACGACCAUGAAAAAAGUUACCGUAGGGAUAACAGGGUAAUAUUUUCGAAGAGUUCAUAUCGAUGAAAAUGUUUGCCACCUCGAUGUUGAAUUGUGAUAUCCUAAAGGUGUAGCAGCUUUUGAGGGUUGGUCUGUUCGACCAUUAAAAUCUUACAUGAUUUGAGUUCAUUCCGU
rnacentral:rRNA from 1 species